rnacentral:tRNA from 1 species
GCGAGAGUGGCGAAACUGGCAGACGCGCCAGACUUAGGAUCUGGUCCCCGCAAGGGGUUGGGGGUUCGACUCCCCCCUCUCGCACCA